GGCCAUUCUGUUCAUUGAAAACACCAGGGCCAGGACCAUGGAUUUGAAUGCCAUAGUCAACGACUUCGCAGAGCGCAAGGCCCGUCAAAUGCCAAUCAAAUGAGUGAACCCAGGUCUCCUACUUGUCAAAACACUGCCUUGGGAUACUCAGCCAUUCUUCAGGACUAAACUGUUUUACACAAUCCAAGAAAGUAUGUCAAUUAAAACAAAAACAUACAUACAAUGUUACCCACAGGCUGGCCAGUCCUAAACACAACCAAUCAAGACCUGGAUCACAGACUACUGCCAACUGUCAAUCAUAUUGUCUAUCUCAACUGUAUUGUGAUUCAAUUCAUC